GCUGGUUCGUCGUGAUAAAUGCGUUGCUGUCGAUUAGUGUGCUCAAAACGCUCGCCGCAGUCACUACAGCAUCAGCUCGCCGUUGGAGAGUGUCGGUACCGACCAGCAGUUCGACAUGCAGACACGAGGACUGCUGCAUCUACGACGCUGAGACGACGGUUGCCACAACUGCGAUCUCUACAAGCAGUAAUAAUCACAAGACUGCUGCAUCUACGACGCUGAGACGACGAUUGCCACAACUGCGAUCUCCACAAGCAGUAAUAGUCACAAGUAAGUU